CCUUCAAUCACAUUUACACUCAUAUGUGACAAUGUGCAAUGGUAUUGUCCGGUCGGGGAGUGUGCAGGUGCAAAAACAAACACACAUAGAUCAAACACGCAUUGCCACAGGAUAGGUGAUUGAUAACUAGUCGGCAUCACAAGCUAGCCAGCGAUAUUUUUCUACUAAUACAAAUCACUGCAAGUACUUUGGGAGCAUUGUAAAACCAUCUGGCAGCCGAGUUACUGCAAGUGCCUUGAAAUGGUUAAUUCUGUUUUUGUUUGUGAACUGAUUUAGUAAUUGUAUCGCUUCCUCUGAAAGUCCCCUGGCAAUAAUAAU